rnacentral:lncRNA from 1 species
AUGAGAAUACAGUUUCCUCCGAAAAAAUCUUAGGCUGAUCUUGGAAGAAAGACCCCCUGGAUCAUCUAAAAAUAAAGUUUUCUAUUUAAAGGUUGGUUUUAAUGUUCAUUAUAGCCCUAUGUGCUACCAGAAAAUGGUUUGCCUUUUUGUUUUAAACAUAAGGAAUCAAUGUAACGCCUUAUACCUGAUAACCUGUGCUGUUGUAUUUGGUCCUCCCUACAACUCUGUCCAUAGAUAUUAUUGUUGCCACUUUAUAGAUGAAAAAACGGAAGCAAAACCAUUAAGUGCCUUCCCCAAGGUCUUAAAAGAAGUCACCAAGAAGGUGGUGUGGCUCAAGUCUCCUGACUCCAGUUUACUAUUUCCCACAAUAAUGUUGGAAAACCACAUUGGAACGGGAAGACUCAUUCCAAGUACUGCUGUCACACCAGCAAGCUUCAAAGAAGCCUGAGGUGAGAUGUCUGGCCGUGUUGCUAGUGCUCGUCGCCCUCAAGAAGCCAAACAGGCUCUCAGAGUCUCUCAGGCCCUGCCCCCGGACGUGGCCCCGCCCCAGAGCAUGCUGGGCAGGACCUCCCCAUAGAUCCCUCCCAUUGCCAAUGUAUUCCUCCAGAGGAUUCUGAGCUCUGCUUGGUGUUUCCAGCUGUGAUGAGGUAAAUGUAGUCUUGGUCCUCUGGAAAAGUAGAUAAUUAAGGCAGAUAGUCCACACAUGUGAAAGUGUUGUGACUUGGAAAGGGUGGGCAGAUCCCAGGUUGGGAGGAUUAAGGAAAGCAUUGAGGGAAACCUUUCAGUAUGGUGGGAAGGAAGGAGGAAAGAAGAGAUGGAGGAUCUCAUUUUGGUUUUGGUUUUGUUUUGUUUUGAAGUUUUUAUGAAGAAAAGUUCCCAUCUGAUGACUUCUCUGUUUCCCUCUGGUGGUCCAGCACAUAUGAUCAAUGAGCGAGGAGUGUGGACAAGGUGUAGGAAAGUGGAAUUGUUUUGAGAACUUAGGCAAGCGAGUUGACUGAGAAAACAAUCACAGAAGCUCCCCGAGACAGGGCCUCUGUUGUGCCUCCACUGGGUGUCCCAAGUGCUUGGAAGAGCGU